CUACGGGACGCUGCAGUGAGGAAUAUUGCACAAUGGGGGGAACCCUGAUGCAGCAACGCCGCGUGGAGGAUGACGCAUUUCGGUGUGUAAACUCCUUUUAUAUGUCAAGAAAAUGACGGUAGCAUAUGAAUAAGCACCGGCUAACUCCGUGCCAGCAGCCGCGGUGAUACGGAGGGUGCAAGCGUUACUCGGAACCACUGGGCGUAAAGGACGCGUAGGCGGGUUGGAAAGUCAGGUGUGAAAUCCUACAGCUUAACUGUAGAACUGCACUUGAAACUUCUAAUCUAGAGUAUGGGAGGGGGAGAUGGAAUUAGUGGUGUAGGGGUAAAAUCCGUAGAUAUCACUAGGAAUACCUAAAGCGAAGGCGAUCUCCUGGAACAUUACUGACGCUAAGGCGUGAAAGCGUGGGGAGCAAACAGGAUUAGAUACCCCCGUAGUC
rnacentral:rRNA from 1 species